CCUUCCCCUUCUUCUUCCAGUAGGACCCCAUCGUAAUUUGCUCUGUUUUUCUUCCCUAUUCCCUUUUGCUCUGCUUGUUUUUAGUUUUUAGUUUUUACCGCCGUCGGCCCCAAGAAUCCUCCAUAAUUGUUUUCUAGAUCCCUCCAAUGGCCACCCUCUCAGCUUAUCCUAACACUAACACUAACACUAACACCAAUUUCCUCUCCCCCACCGAUCAAUCUAAUCUCGACCGGGAAUCUAUCCCUCCCAUGCAAAAUCACCCUUCUGCCGAACCGGACUCCGAUGCUAACCCUAAUUUUCACUCCCCACUUUUGGACCCGCCCGAUUCGGUUCCUCCAGCCGUGGCUCCGUCGUCUCUUCUCCACCUCUCCUUCAACCAGGAUCAUGGCUGCUUUGCCGCCGGCACUGACCAUGGCUUCCGAAUCUACAAUUGCGAUCCAUUCCGCGAGAUCUUUCGCCGAGACUUCGAUCGCGGUGGCGGUAUCGGGGUUGUUGAGAUGCUUUUUCGUUGUAAUAUUUUGGCUCUUGUUGGUGGUGGACCCGAUCCGCAGUACCCGCCUAAUAAGGUUAUGAUCUGGGACGAUCACCAAAGCCGGUGCAUCAGCGAGCUUUCGUUUCGUUCAGAAGUGAGAUCGGUUCGGCUUCGGAGGGACCGAAUCAUAGUCGUUUUGGAACAGAAAAUUUUCGUUUACAAUUUUGUGGAUUUGAAGCUCCUACACCAGAUUGAGACCAUCGCGAAUCCAAAAGGACUCUGCGCGGUGUCUCAGGGAGCAGGAUCAUUGGUUUUGGUUUGCCCUGGAUUGCAAAAGGGGCAGGUUAGGGUGGAGCAUUACGCCUCGAAGAGGACUAAGUUCAUCAUGGCUCAUGAUUCGAGAAUUGCGUGCUUUGCGCUCUCGCAGGAUGGCCAGUUGCUUGCUACCGCUAGCACUAAAGGGACAUUGGUUCGCAUUUAUAAUACCAUUGAUGGUAGCUUGCUGCAAGAGGUAAGGAGGGGUGCAGAUAGAGCUGAAAUUUACAGUUUGGCAUUCUCUUCAAAUGCCCAAUGGUUAGCAGUUUCAAGUGACAAAGGCACUGUCCAUGUUUUCAGCCUUAAAAUUAGUGCCGGAUCUCCUGGCACUACCCAAUCACGAAGUACAUCGGAGCCUGUUGUAUCUUCCCAUUCAUCUCUUUCUUUUAUCAAAGGUGUGUUACCAAAGUACUUCAGUUCAGAAUGGUCAGUGGCUCAGUUCCGCCUGGUUGAAGGUUCUCAGUACCUUGUUGCUUUCGGUCACCAAAAGAAUACAGUGGUAAUUCUGGGCAUUGAUGGAAGGUAAGAAGGAAAAAAGAAAGACCAAUAAUGGUAUCAAAAGAAUUGGUUGGAACCAACCAUCAAUAAUCGCUUCUACCGAUGCCAAUUUGAUCCGGUGAAUGGUGGGGAAAUGACUCAGCUGGAAUAUCACAACUUUCUGAAGCCAGAGGCAGCUUUCUGAAGAUUUACAUUUAUAUUUACAUAUUUACAAAUAUAUGUUUCUCUAUUUUAUUGGGUCAAAUAUUUGGCAUCUUCCACGGUCCACUUCCUCCUUUCCCAUCAUUCACUUAAUGCAUUUCCCAAUCUGUAAAUAUAUAUUUAAGCAUAGUUUUGUAAAGUUCGUAACUGUUCUUAAGAAAAAGUAAAUAAAUUUCAGCUGUUCAUAA